rfam:Myotis brandtii contig187195, whole genome shotgun sequence.
GCCUGUGUGCUCAGUGUUUAGAGCAUUGGUCUGCAUACUAAAGGGUCUCAGGUUCGAUUCCGGUCAAAGGCA